rnacentral:rRNA from 1 species
UACGUAGGGUGCAAGCGUUGUCCGGAAUUAUUGGGCGUAAAGAGCUCGUAGGCGGUUUGUCGCGUCUGCUGUGAAAGCCCGAGGCUUAACCUCGGGUCUGCAUUCGAUACGGGCUAGCUAGAGUGUGGUAGGGGAGAUCGGAAUUCCUGGUGUAGCGGUGAAAUGCGCAGAUAUCAGGAGGAACACCGGUGGCGAAGGCGGAUCUCUGGGCCAUUACUGACGCUGAGGAGCGAAAGCGUGGGGAGCGAACAGG